AGCAACUUGACGCAGUGGAAGCGUGCGGGGCUCAUAAAUCACGUGCAUGUUACGUAAUUAGAAACCCCGAAGUCCCUGGAUCGAAACCAGGAGUUGCUA